rnacentral:rRNA from 1 species
AGAGUUUGAUCAUGGCUCAGGAUGAAUGCUGGCGGCGUGGCUAAGGCAUGCAAGUCGAACGGAUAUAUUUUUGUAGCAAUACUUGAGUAUAUUAGUGGCAAACGGGAGCGUAACACAUUGGUAACUUACCCUGAACUCGUGAAUAACGUCUGGAAACGGACGCUAAUACACGAUACAGAUGGAGGGGGCUUAUGCCAUUCUCAUUGAAAGAAUUUCGGUUCAGGAGAGGCCUAUGGCCCAUCAGCUAGUUGGCGGUGUAAUAGACCACCAAGGCUAUGACGGGUACCAGGCGCGAGAGCGCGACCUGGCUCACUGGGACUGAGACACUGCCCAGACACCUACGGGUGGCUGCAGUCGCGAAUAUUCCACAAUGCACGAAAGUGUGAUGGAGCGACGCCGCGUGUCGGAUGAAGGCCUUCGGGUUGUAAACGACUUUUAUCAGGGACGAAUUUUGACGGUACCUGAAGAAUAAGGGGUUGCUAACUCUGUG